rnacentral:misc_RNA from 1 species
AAGACAAAAGACCGAGCGAUUUCUUUCUCUAGUGCCUAGCAACACAACAUUUCGUCUCUCCCUCUCUCUCUGACAUCUCCAGACUCCAAAAUAUCCAAUCAAAACGACUCUAAAUCAUCCCCUGUGAAUGGAAGCAAUUCGAAAACAAGCCACAAAGCUUCGAGAACAGGUCGCUUCGCUAAGCAACAACAGGCGGUUCUCAAACAGUUUGGGGCUGGUGGAUAUGGAAGCUCAGACAAUGUUAUUACUGAUGAGGCAGAACUCCACCAACAUCAGAAACUUGAGAAGCUUUACAUAUCAACACGUGCUGGAAAGCAUUUCCAACGGGAUAUUGUUCGUGGUGUAGAAGGAUAUAUUGUCACUGGAUCCAAACAAGUUGAGAUAGGAACAAAGUUGUCAGAGGAUAGCAGGAAAUAUGGCGCGGAAAAUACAUGUACUAGUGGUACUACAUUAUCAAAGGCA